CAUAUCUCCCUGUGGCUGGCGCUGGGCCACCGAACCUACCCGACCACGAUGCAGGAGCUCUGGGACGACGUGCUCACCCUCAACGCCACGGCCCGGCAGCUCAUCGCCGCCUGGUUCUCCCGUCGGCACACCCGCUUCAAGAAGCGCUCGGCCGACUACCACGGCCGCGCCGCCGACCUUGUCCACGGUCUCCGCGGCACGGCCGUCUCGAGGAGGCAUCGGCUCAAGGGCCAGGCCCGCGUCGCUGCGCUCCCUCGCCUCCACCCACCAGUCCGUGACCAAGGCCACAGCCGAGGCCGGCGGCGUGUCGCUUCUUGA
rnacentral:rRNA from 1 species